AUUGAACGCUGGCGGCAGGCUUAACACAUGCAAGUCGAGCGGAGAUGAGGUGCUUGCACCUUAUCUUAGCGGCGGACGGGUGAGUAAUGCUUAGGAAUCUGCCAUUUAGUGGGGGACCACAUUCCGAAAGGAAUGCUAAUACCGCAUACGUCCUACGGGAGAAAGCAGGGGAUCUUCGGACCUCGUGCUAUAGGAGGAGCCUGCGUCGGAUUAGCUAGUUGGUGAGGUAAAGGCUCACCAAGGCGACGAUCCGUAGCUGGUCUGAGAGGAUGAUCAGCCACACCGGAACUGAGACACGGUCCGGACUCCUACGGGAGGCAGCAGUGGGGAAUAUUGCGCAAUGGGCGAAAGCCUGACGCAGCCAUACCGCGUGUGCGAAGAAGGCCUUCGGGUUGUAAAGCACUUUCAGUGGGGAGGAAAAGCUGGUGGCUAAUAUCCAUCGGCCGUGACGCUACCCACAGAAGAAGCACCGGCUAGUUCCGUGCCAGCCGCCGCAGUAACAC
rnacentral:rRNA from 1 species